ACGUACACUCCUACGGGAGGCAGCAGUGGGGAAUAUUGGACAAUGGGCGCAAGCCUGAUCCAGCCAUGCCGCGUGAGUGAUGAAGGCCCUAGGGUUGUAAAGCUCUUUCACCGGUGAAGAUAAUGACGGUAACCUGAGAAGAAGCCCCGGCUAACUUCGUGCCAGCAGCCGCGGUAAUACGAAGGGGGCUAGCGUUGUUCGGAUUUACUGGGCGUAAAGCGCACGUAGGCGGACUAUUAAGUCAGGGGUGAAAUCCCGGGGCUCAACCCCGGAACUGCCUUUGAUACUGGUAGUCUUGAGUUCGAUAGAGGUGAGUGGAAUUCCGAGUGUAGAGGUGAAAUUCGUAGAUAUUCGGAGGAACACCAGUGGCGAAGGCGGCUCACUGGCUCGAUACUGACGCUGAGGUGCGAAAGCGUGGGGAGCAAACAGGAUUAGAAACCCUGGUAGUCCCAUGA
rnacentral:rRNA from 1 species